rnacentral:rRNA from 1 species
UGAUCCUCCGUAGGUGAACCUGCGGAAGGAUCAUUACCGAGUGCGGGCUCGUGGCCACCUCCCCUUGUCUCUAUACACCUGUUGCUUUGGCGGGCCCACCGGGGCCACCUGGUCGCCGGGGGACAUCUGUCCCCGGGCCCGCGCCCGCCGAAGCGCUCUGUGAACCCUGAUGAAGAUGGGCUGUCUGAGUACUAUGAAAAUUGUCAAAACUUUCAACAAUGGAUCUCUUGGUUCCGGCAUCGAUGAAGAACGCAGCGAAAUGCGAUAAGUAAUGUGAAUUGCAGAAUUCCGUGAAUCAUCGAAUCUUUGAACGCACAUUGCGCCCCCUGGCAUUCCGGGGGGCAUGCCUGUCCGAGCGUCAUUUCUGCCCUCAAGCACGGCUUGUGUGUUGGGUGCGGUCCCCCCGGGGACCUGCCCGAAAGGCAGCGGCGACGUCCGUCUGGUCCUCGAGCGUAUGGGGCUUUGUCACUCGCUCGGGAAGGACUGGCGGGGGUUGGUCACCACCAAAAUUUUACCACGGUGACCUCGGAUCAGGUAGGAGUUACCCGCUGAACUUAAGCAUAUCAAUAAGCGGAGGAA